GGAUGUGAGGGUGAUCUGGCUGCAACAUCUGUCACCCCAUUGAUCCCUAGGGUUGAUUCGGCUGAUCUGGCUGGCUAGCCGGGUGUCUCCUUCCUUCCUCACCGCUCCAUGUGCCUCCCUCCCAAACCUGCAUGCUUGGUCAAAGAGGAAUGCCUUCCCCGCUAGAGGAGGACGGGUCUUCGGUCAAGGGUAUACAAGUAGUUGCGAUCUCCUGCUAGAACCUCCAAACAAGCUUUCAAAAUAUCAUCUAUGAAUGCUAUAGAAAUCUCCACACACAUAAACCUGAAAAUGU
rnacentral:snRNA from 1 species